UACAGAGGUCCCAAGCGUUGUUCGGAUUCACUGGGCGUAAAGGGUGCGUAGGCGGUGAGGUAAGUCUGACGUGAAAUCUCCGGGCUCAACCCGGAAACUGCGUUGGAUACUAUCUCGCUAGAGGAAUGGAGGGGAGACUGGAAUACUUGGUGUAGCAGUGAAAUGCGUAGAUAUCAAGUGGAACACCAGUGGCGAAGGCGAGUCUCUGGAUAUUUCCUGACGCUGAGGCACGAAAGCCAGGGGAGCAAACGGG
rnacentral:rRNA from 1 species